rnacentral:lncRNA from 12 species
UGUCCUCAUCCACAGGUGUGACCUCACUGGUGGGAUGCUGGCCACAUGCCAGGUGCAGGGCCAGGGUGAGCCCCAUGACGGGUGCUACCAUGGAGAUAAGAACUGACAGCCAGGGCCUCUCAGGGGAGAGAGGGGGCACCUGAGGGAGGCCUUCGAGGAUGAGUAGGAGUUUGCAGGAAAGGCAGCAAGAGCGGUGUGACUCUGUGUGGCCAGAUGCCUGCGGAAGGGGAAGGGCUCCAGAGGACCAGGUGUGAGGGGCCCAAGUGCCCUGGGCCUCAUUAUGUGGUGACCAGCAAGCCACAAUCAGAUCUUGGAAAGUCAGGGGUGUUUUUCCUUCCGCUUUACAGUUCCACCUUCCAGAUGUGCUGUAAAGCACACAGACAGAACAGAGCGACCACUUGAGUCCCUGACUGGGCAGCCCCUGGCAUCUCUGAGUGCAGCACCUAAUCCUCCAGCGCUCUUUAUCAAAUACCCCGGCCUUUAAAGUGUUAUUAAAUGCCUUUUUUUGGAUUAUAAUUUUUACUCUUGA